rnacentral:rRNA from 1 species
GACGAACGCUGGCGGCGUGCCUAAUACAUGCAAGUCGAACGCACUCUCGUUUAGAUUGAAGGAGCUUGCUCCUGAUUGAUAAACAUUUGAGUGAGUGGCGGACGGGUGAGUAACACGUGGGUAACCUGCCCUAAAGUGGGGGAUAACAUUUGGAAACAGAUGCUAAUACCGCAUAAAACCUAACACCGCAUGGUGUAGGGUUGAAAGAUGGUUUCGGCUAUCACUUUAGGAUGGACCCGCGGUGCAUUAGUUAGUUGGUGAGGUAAAGGCUCACCAAGACCGUGAUGCAUAGCCGACCUGAGAGGGUAAUCGGCCACACUGGGACUGAGACACGGCCCAGACUCCUACGGGAGGCAGCAGUAGGGAAUCUUCCACAAUGGACGAAAGUCUGAUGGAGCAACGCCGCGUGAGUGAAGAAGGUUUCGGAUCGUAAAACUCUGUUGUUGGAGAAGAAUGUAUCUGAUAGUAACUGAUCAGGUAGUGACGGUAUCCAACCAGAAAGCCACGG